rnacentral:rRNA from 1 species
GACGAACGCUGGCGGCGUGCUUAACACAUGCAAGUCGAACGGGUCUGCCCUGUUUUUUGCGGGGUGGGUCAGUGGCGAGCGGGUGAGUAACACGUGAGUAACCUGCCCCUCACUUCUGGAUAACCGCUUGAAAGGGUGGCUAAUACGGGGUGUUCUGGCUGUGCCGCAUGGUGUGGCUGGGAAAGAUUCACUUUUGUGGUGUUUUGGUGGGGGAUGGGCUCGCGGCCUAUCAGCUUGUUGGGGGGGUGAUGGCCUGCCAGGGCUUUGACGGGUAGCCGGCCGGGGGGGGUGGGGGGCACCACGGGGAUUGAGAUACGGCCCGGACCCCGGGGGGGGGGAGCGGGGGGGGGUUUUGCAAAAGGGGGGGAAGCCGGAUGCAGGGACGGCGGGGGGGGGAGGGGGGCCUUGGGGUGGUGAACCUUUUUCGCGGGUGAAAAAGGUCCUGCUCUUUGGGGGGGGGUUGACGGUACCCGGUGUAAAAAGCCCCGGCUAACUCCGG